rnacentral:rRNA from 1 species
GACGAACGCUGGCGGCGUGCCUAAUACAUGCAAGUAGAACGCUGAAGAGAGGAGCUUGCUCUUCUUGGAUGAGUUGCGAACGGGUGAGUAACGCGUAGGUAACCUGCCUGGUAGCGGGGGAUAACUAUUGGAAACGAUAGCUAAUACCGCAUAAAAUGGAUUAUCGCAUGAUAAUCCAUUGAAAGGUGCAAAUGCAUCACUACCAGAUGGACCUGCGUUGUAUUAGCUAGUUGGUGGGGUAACGGCUCACCAAGGCGACGAUACAUAGCCGACCUGAGAGGGUGAUCGGCCACACUGGGACUGAGGCACGGCCCAGACUCCUACGGGAGGCAGCAGUAGGGAAUCUUCGGCAAUGGACGGAAGUCUGACCGAGCAACGCCGCGUGAGUGAAGAAGGUUUUCGGAUCGUAAAGCUCUGUUGUAAGAGAAGAACGAGUGUGAGAGUGGAAAGUUCACACUGUGACGGUAUCUUACCAGAAAGGGACGGCUAACUACGUGCCAGCAGCCGCGGUAAUACGUAGGUCCCGAGCGUUGUCCGGAUUUAUUGGGCGUAAAGCGAGCGCAGGCGGUUAGAUAAGUCUGAAGUUAAAGGCUGUGGCUUAACCAUAGUACGCUUUGGAAACUGUUUAACUUGAGUGCAAGAGGGGAGAGUGGAAUUCCAUGUGUAGCGGUGAAAUGCGUAGAUAUAUGGAGGAACACCGGUGGCGAAAGCGGCUCUCUGGCUUGUAACUGACGCUGAGGCUCGAAAGCGUGGGGAGCAAACAGG